AGGAGACACACACACACACACACAGAGGUACAGUAAACACACACAGAGGUACAGGAGACACACACACACAGAGGUACAGAAGACACACACACACACACAGAGGUACAGUAGACACACACACACACACACAGAGGUACAGUAGACACACACACACACACACACAGAGGUACAGUAGACACACACACACAGAGGUACAGUAGACACACACACAGAGGUACAGUAGACACACACACACACACACACAGAGGUACAGUAGACACACACACAGAGGUACAGUAGACACACACACACAGAGGUACAGUAGACACA
ensembl:lncRNA